rnacentral:rRNA from 1 species
CUACGAAGGGGGCGAGCGUUGUUCGGAAUAACUGGGCGUAAAGCGCACGUAGGCGGAAUGUUAAGUUAGAGGUGAAAUCCCAGGGCUCAACCCUGGAACUGCCUUUAAUACUGGCAAUCUAGAGACCGAGAGAGGUGAGUGGAAUUCCGAGUGUAGAGGUGAAAUUCGUAGAUAUUCGGAGGAACACCAGUGGCGAAGGCGGCUCACUGGCUCGGUUCUGACGCUGAGGUGCGAAAGCGUGGGGAGCAAACAGGAUUAGAUACCCUAGUAGUCC